UACGAAGGGGGCUAGCGUUGCUCGGAAUCACUGGGCGUAAAGGGUGCGUAGGCGGGUCUUUUAAGUCAGGGGUGAAAUCCUGGAGCUCAACUCCAGAACUGCCUUUGAUACUGAGGAUCUUGAGUUCGGGAGAGGUGAGUGGAACUGCGAGUGUAGAGGUGAAAUUCGUAGAUAUUCGCAAAGAACACCAGUGGCGAAGGCGGCUCACUGGCCCGAUACUGACGCUGAGGCACGAAAGCGUGGGGAGCAAACAGGAUAGAUACCCCUG
rnacentral:rRNA from 1 species